rnacentral:rRNA from 1 species
GACGAACGCUGGCGGCGUGCUUAACACAUGCAAGUCGAACGGAAAGGCCCUGCUUUUUUGGGGUUCUCGAGUGGCGAACGGGUGAGUAACACGUGAGUAACCUGCCCUUCACUUUGGGAUAACUUCAGGAAACUGGGGCUACUACCGUAUAGGAUCUCCUGCUGCAUGGUGGGGGUUGGAAAGUUUCGGCGGUUGGGGAUGGACUCGCGGCUUAUCAGCUUGUUGGUGGGGUAGUGGCUUACCAAGGCUUUGACGGGUAGCCGGCCUGAGAGGGUGACCGGCCACAUUGGGACUGAGAUACGGCCCAGACGCGUACAGGAGGCAGCAGGGGGGAAUAUUGCACAAUGGGAGGAAGCCUGAUGCAGCAACGCCGCGUGCGGGAUGACGGCCUUCGGGUUGUAAACCGCAUUCGCCUGUGACGAAGCGUGAGUGACGGUAAUGGGUAAAGAAGCACCGGCUAACUACGUG